GAUGAAGAACGUAGCGAAAUGCGAUACUUGGUGUGAAUUGCAGAAUCCCGUGAACCAUCGAGUCUUUGAACGCAAGUUGCGCCCGAAGCCAUUAGGCCGAGGGCACGCCUGCCUGGGUGUCACACACCGUUACCCUCGCGCCAACGUCCAUCGUUGGCCGCGGCGCGGGGCGUGCGCUGACCUCCCGCGAGCGGGGUCUCGUGGUUGGUUGAAAAUCGAGUUCGCGGUCGAGGGUGCCGUGAUGAGAUGGUGGAUGGGCGACGCCCGAGGCCAAUCACGCGCGACUCUGGCCGGCUCGGACUCCUGGACCCCUUCGGCGUCUCCGGACGCUCUUUGGCGAGACCUCAGGUCAGGCGGGGCUACCCGCUGAGUUUAAGCAUAUCAAUAAGCGGAGGA
rnacentral:misc_RNA from 1 species